rnacentral:rRNA from 1 species
UACGUAGGGUGCAAGCGUUAAUCGGAAUUACUGGGCGUAAAGCGUGCGCAGGCGGCUAUGCAAGACAGAUGUGAAAUCCCCGGGCUUAACCUGGGAAUUGCGCUUGAAACUAGCGGGCUUGAGUGUGGCAGAGGGGGGUGGAAUUCCACGUGUAGCAGUGAAAUGCGUAGAGAUGUGGAGGAACACCGAUGGCGAAGGCAGCCCCCUGGGUCAACACUGACGCUCAUGCACGAAAGCGUGGGGAGCAAACAGG